rnacentral:lncRNA from 1 species
UCAUCCGUGUAGUUCCCCUAGCUGAGGCUUUGUCUGAUCCUGAUUUCGCGUUGGAACUUUUGAGGAAGAUGUUUUCUCUUCCUUCCCCAGUGGAGUGACUGCUUCUCCUUCUUCGUGGCAGAUAUUCCUUCCGUGGCUAUAAGUGAUUUUUGUUGGAUGUGCUUCUGUUUGGUAGUUGUUCCCCACAGAAUUUCACUUCACCCCCUGAUAAGAUCCCUAGUAGAUUUCUCCUCU